ACACAUGCAAGUCGAACGGAGAUUAUUUGGUUGAAGUUUUCGGAUGGACACCGGGUGAUCUUAGUGGCGAACGGGUGAGUAACGCGUGAGCAAUCUGCCUCAGAGUGGGGGACAACAGUUGGAAACGACUGCUAAUACCGCAUAAGCCCACAGCACCGCAUGGUGCAGGGGGAAAAGAUUUAUUGCUUUGAGAUGAGCUCGCGUCCAAUUAGCUAGUUGGUGAGGUAACGGCCCACCAAGGCGACGAUUGGUAGCCGGACUGAGAGGUUGAACGGCCACAUUGGGACUGAGAUACGGCCCAGACUCCUACGGGAGGCAGCAGUGGGGAAUAUUGCACAAUGGGGGGAACCCUGAUGCAGCGACGCCGCGUGGAGGAAGAAGGUCUUCGGAUUGUAAACUCCUGUUGUUAGGGACGAUAAUGACGGUACCUAACAAGGAAGCACCGGCUAACUACGUGCCAGCAGCCGCGGUAAAACGUAGGGUGCAAGCGUUGUCCGGAAUUACUGGGUGUAAAGGGAGCGCAGGCGGGCAUGCAAGUUGGAAGUGAAAACUAUGGGCUCAACCCAUAGCCUGCUUUCAAAACUGCGUGUCUUGAGUAGUGCAGAGGUAGGCGGAAUUCCCGGUGUAGCGGUGGAAUGCGUAGAUAUCGGGAGGAACACCAGUGGCGAAGGCGGCCUACUGGGCACCAACUGACGCUGAGGCUCGAAAGCAUGGGUAGCAAACAGGAUUAGAUACCCUGGUAGUCCAUGCCGUAAACGAUGAUUACUAGGUGUUGGAGGAUUGACCCCUUCAGUGCCGCAGUUAACACAAUAAGUAAUCCACCUGGGGAGUACGACCGCAAGG
rnacentral:rRNA from 1 species